UCUCUCCCUCAUUCUCUUUCUCCCUCUUUCUCUCCUUCUCUCUCUGUCUUUUUGUCUCCCCUUAUGUCUCUUGCAUUGUGCCUGAAUAAUUUUCAGGGAUUUUUUUUUUUUUUUCUCUCUUGCACGCACAUGCUAAAAGAACUAGACAAAGAUGCAAGGUGUUUGCUGCAGUCCCUGUCUCUAGGAAAAAAUAAAACAACAAGAAAGCUCAUGAUUGCAAUGCCACCUUUUCUUUUCUUUCUUUCCUUUUUUUUUUUUUUUCUUUUCCACUCAUGCUCGGUGAUUAAACUUCCCCAGGAUGAAAAAGGAGCUGGAAUUGAAAUAGGGCUGAGGAAAAGACCAUUGCAGCAGCUGCAGUCAGUGGUGUCUACUGCCAGAUGUGCUAAGGUUCCUGGGCUCCUUGACACUAAAAGGCAGCAUAAAAAUAUUUGGAGACAAAAGCUGCAUCCUCAGUGAUGAUUCUCUUUAUUUAACAUGGCAGCAGGCACCGUGUGGGAGAAAAUCAACAUGCUGGAUGUUGAAUUGGACUUUCCUCCUUUCUAGGAUGAAAGGAUGUUAUCUAUCCCGUGCCAAGAGGGAGCUGAGGUGCAGGGGGAGGGGAAGAAAGUCUCCAAAACCAGCCCGGGAUGAGCAAUGAACAUAAGGCUGUUACUAUCAGCACUGGUGUAUUUGCAGCGAUGCCUAUCAACAUCCACCAGAGAGCAGGGCAGCUCCAAAACCCACAUCUUUCAUGCUGUGGAAAUUGAUGGAGACAGCAACACAGCCAGCUUCUUGGCCAAACAACAUGGAAUGCAGUUCAUUUCAAAGGUACUGGUCUCUUAGCCUGUAAGGCUUGUGCAUGAUGUAUAUGAGAGCGGUUUCCAGCAGAGAGAAGCUUAUCACAGAUCCACCUAAAAGGAAGAGAUGAUGGCACCAACAAUGUGUCCCUCUGUCUGAAAGACGUAAUUGCUUGACGGAAGAACAGUCUGUUCGACUCCUGGGUGUGAUGAAAGUGAUGCUGGUAAGGAAGGAAAAUAUUUCUAGGAACUGAUGAAUGAUUAUAGAAUCUCUAAGGAGGACAUUUGCCUGUGACUGUUAAAGUGCUGAAUUGACUUUCCUGAUCCUUGAUAAAUAAAUGGAAAGAAUGUUUUCUGUUACCGGAGGCUGUGCUGGAGGUUGCACCUUUUCCUGUCAGAUAUGGACUUUGCUACCAUGAUUCGAGGCUUGUUUAUCACUGGAUUACUUCAGACUGUUCUGCUUGGGUUUGUCAGCUGAGAAGCAUAGAGACAUCAGAUGUUAAAGCUUGAAGAAAAUUCUAAGCAACAUAAGGAAGAGUGCAACCUGUUGUUUAGAUGUGUCAACAUACGGCAUUGAAAUAUCUUCAAGGACAUGGUCAUUGUCUCCAAAUUACCAAUUGCCAAAUUCGUAAGCACCCUGGGGACUGAGCUAUGGGGACAUCCUGUAUGAUUAAGUUUGGUCCUUUUAAGAAAGCACUGACUCUUUUCAGAAGAGGUUCUUUGGCCUGAACAUAGGGAGGGGUUUUGCCAGCUAGUGCACAUGAUAGGAAUGCACUAUUUUUACAUAAUAUUUCCACCAGUACAGCAGCAUUACUUCCUUCCAUUACAUUCCUCUGCAACCUGCAUACUCUAAAAAAUAAAAUGUAUUUUACCAGUAUGUGUGCUGAGUUUUCAGUACGAUACCUGAUACAUGAUUUACUAUGAUGUUUUCACAGUAAAUUCUUACUUAUGUAUUUUCAUGCUACUUCAAUAAAACCAUCAAAACUGAAAGUCAAAGCAAAACAAAAACAAAGAGGUAAAAACAUGGAAUAGGAUAAACCAAUUAUCCUUUAUUAUGAGUGUUGUUUGCUAAAAACAUCAGCUUUGAUUUAGCUUUAUGGGGUAACUUCAGUGGAAAUUUAUUUGCAAAACUACAAGAAAAAAAAAAAGAAACUAUCACUUCUACUUUACAAUAAUUUUUAAUACUCCACAGGCUGCAUAAGACUACAAAGUAGUGGAUUAGCAUGAGGGGAAGAUGGUUACUACUUGUGAGUAAGCCUUUCUUUUUGUUCCACAAUAUAUUUAUGGUGCUAUAUAGCUAAAUAAGAGCUGUGUCCUAUUUUAAGUCACAACAUGCACUUAUGGAUCUAUGCCCUUGUUGAUCCUUAUGAAGGAAAAAUGUUUCUUUGUAAACAGCGUGGCUACUGUGAUGAAUUGUUAGGAUUUAUAUAAAUACAUAUGUAAUGAAAAGAGAAUGUUAAAAUUCAAAUAAAUGUAUUUUCAUUGUUUUUAAUAUGUAAUUUUAACUUUUUUACCAUGCUGAAAAGAAUGAGAGUUUUUAGAUUCACGUUAUGAUUAAACGUUAGCAUUAUUUCUGUUUUCUAUGGUAAAUAAAAUUAAAUAAAGCAAGUUCAAGAACUCAGGAGUUUUCUUCACAAAACUUUUGACC